ensembl:lincRNA
CAGGUGGAGCCUUUUAGGACGCACGCCCACACAGCAGCGGGAGCUGAGAGGGCUUCGUAGGGAGGAUGUUUGCUCUGCGGGGAUGCAGCCGGCUCGGCUCCAGAGUGACUUCUCUGCACUGGCUCAUCAGAGGAUCUGUCCCUGGAGUUCAUGCUACCAAGAGAAACAUAGUCAGAUGGAUCACAGUGCCCCUCCUGAAGCUUUAGAUUACUAAUACAGAGAGUUUGCAGGAAUCUGCUCAGCUGAGUUAGUAAGAUGUGUAUAAAAACUUUUAAUUCUGUAAGAUAGAAUGAAGUUGAGGUAGAGGAAAAAUAGAUUUCUGAUCAGACACGGUACACUACACUUGGCAACUCAUCUCACCAAUGUGAGAGGUUGAUGACCAGGGUGAGGUCCCCAGGGAAGAGAGCAGCUCCCCGCCAUCAGUGCGUCCCUGAGAUCUCUAGCACUGCUCACUGCCAGGGGCAAGGAUUUCUACAAGGCUGCUCUUUCUUCCAUCUAUUCCCAGGUAACUUGCAAGGUUUAAAGGGGAAAAAAGUGAAGACAUUUGGCAAGCUUUUUACUCCAACAGAUUGGAGGCCUAUCAUUCUCCCAGAGCUUGUAGAACUCUUAACGAAGUAAGAAGUGGGCUAACUGUGAGCGUAUCUGUGAGUUGGAAAAGAGAGAACCAUAGACGAAGCGACCGGCCUCCAGGAGCCUGGAAGAUCUUGGAUGUUCAGCUUCAGUUCCGAGCUUUUGUCAUCUAAACUUCUAUCUGCAAAGUUUCUAGAGUCUGUGGAACACUAUGUGCCAGAGGCUAGUAACUCACUGGCUGGCUGCAGAGCCUACCCAGUGAAGUCCUGGCUCCUACCACAGAAGUUACCAUCUCUCUGAAUCUCAGGUUUCUCAUCUGUGUACCAAGGUAAUGACCUCUAGAGUUAUUGGGAACAUUGCCUAAUAAAAUAAUAUAGUAAUGCUCCUGCGAAUUCAAGUAUCACACGUGUUUUCAUUGACACAAUUUAUUGCUACCACAGAACUAGACCAGGAGAGAGAUGUGAAGUCCCCACUAGGUGUCAUUUGAGUGUCUGUGAGAGCUGCAGUUCUUCUAGACAGGAAUAAUGCAAAAAAAAGGGGGGGGGGAUACGGAAUUCUUGCUUCCAGAGUUUGGUGAUAAAGUUAAAAAAUUU